UACGUAGGGACCAAGCGUUGUUCGGAUUUACUGGGCGUAAAGGGCGCGUAGGCGGCAAAUUAAGUCAUCUGUGAAAUCUCCGAGCUUAACUCGGAACGGUCAGGUGAUACUGAUCUGCUAGAGUGCGGAAGGGGCAAUCGGAAUUCUUGGUGUAGCGGUGAAAUGCGUAGAUAUCAAGAGGAACACCGAUGGCGAAGGCAGGUCUCUGGGCAUUAACUGACGCUGAGGAGCGAAAGCAUGGGGAGCGAACAGG
rnacentral:rRNA from 1 species